UGGGGAAUAUUGCACAAUGGGGGAAACCCUGAUGCAGCGACGCCGCGUGAACGAAGAAGGUAUUCGUAUCGUAAAGUUCUGUCCUAUGGGAAGAUAAUGACAGUACCAUAGAAGAAAGCUCCGGCUAAAUACGUGCCAGCAGCCGCGGUAAUACGUAUGGAGCGAGCGUUGUCCGGAAUUAUUGGGCGUAAAGGGUACGCAGGCGGUUUAAUAAGUCGAAUGUUAAAGAUCGGGGCUCAACCCCGUAAAGCAUUGGAAACUGAUAAACUUGAGUAGUGGAGAGGAAAGUGGAAUUCCUAGUGUAGUGGUGAAAUACGUAGAUAUAUGGAGGAACCCCGGUGGCGAAGGCGGCUCUCUGGUCUGUAACUGACGCUGAGGUUCGAAAGCGUGGGGAGCGAACAGG
rnacentral:rRNA from 1 species